rnacentral:rRNA from 1 species
CCUANGGGGGGCUGCAGUCGAGAAUCUUCCACAAUGGACGAAAGUCUGAUGGAGCGACGCCGCGUGAAUGAUGAAGCACUUCGGUGCGUAAAGUUCUUUUAUGGAGGAAAAAUUUUAUGAUAUUACUCCAAGAAUAAGGGGUUGCAAAACUCGUGCCAGCAGCAGCGGUAAUACGAGUACCCCAAGCGUUAUCCGGAAUUACUGGGCGUAAAGGGUGCGUAGGAUGCAGUGUUAGUCUUGUUUUAAAGAUCCGGGCUUAACCCGGGGGAUGGACAAGAAACGACACAGCUUAGAGAGUGUGAGAGGUUUAUGGAACUCAUGGUGUAGGGGUGAAAUCCGUUGAUAUCAUGGGGAACACCAAAGGCGAAGGCAAUAAACUGGCACAUUUCUGACUCUGAAGCACGAAAGCGUGGGGAUCAAAAAGGAUUAGAUACCCCUNUANUC